GACGAACGCUGGCGGCGUGCUUAACACAUGCAAGUCGAACGGCAAGGCCCUGCUUUUGUGGGGUGCUCGAGUGGCGAACGGGUGAGUAACACGUGAGUAACCUGCCCUUGACUUUGGGAUAACUUCAGGUAACUGGGGCUACUCUCGGAUCGGAGAUCCUGCUGCGUGGUGGGGGUUGGAAAGUUUCGGCGGGUGGGGAUGGAUUCGCGGGUUAUCAGCUUGUUGGUGGGGGGGUGGCUUACCAAGGAAGUGGCUGGUAGCCGGCCCGGGAGGGUGGACGGCGUCAUUGGGCCUACGAGACGGCCCAGUCGCCUACGGUGGGCAGUAGUGGGGAACAUGGCACAAUGGUCGGGAGCCUGAGGCGGCAACGCCGCGGUCGUAAUGACGGCCUUCUGGGUGUAAACCGCUGUCGCCUGUUACGAAGCGUGAGUGACGGUAAUGGGUAAAGAAGCACCGGCUAACUACGUG
rnacentral:rRNA from 1 species